UCCUACGGGAGGCAGCAGUGGGGAAUAUUGCACAAUGGGGGGAACCCUGAUGCAGCGACGCCGCGUGAGUGAAGAAGUAUUUCGGUAUGUAAAGCUCUAUCAGCAGGGAAGAAGAUGACGGUACCUGACUAAGAAGCCCCGGCUAACUACGUGCCAGCAGCCGCGGUAAUACGUAGGGGGCAAGCGUUAUCCGGAUUUACUGGGUGUAAAGGGAGCGUAGACGGCAGGGCAAGUCUGGAGGGAAAGCCCGGGGCCCAACCCCG
rnacentral:rRNA from 1 species